AAAAAAUAGACCUUAUAAAAUGCUUGAUUGUGAGUACAUAUAUAUACUUCAAAUAAAAAAGUAAAAAAUAAAAAUGGUUGUUCAAAUAAUAUGUUUUUGUUCUGAGAAAAAAAAAAAAAAAAAAAAAGGGGAAAGUGGGUGUUUUAAUAUUAUUAUUAUUAUUAUUUUUAUUUUUAUUUUUUUUUUUUAUUUUUAAUCAACAUAAAAUGUUAUUUGUUGUAAAUACGUGUAUAUAGAAGUUCAACGUGUGUUAUAAGAUUCGAAACAAAGCUACCUAAAAAAUAAAUCUCACAUGCCCGUAAACACAUAGCACUUGUUCCAAAAUGAUGGAAAUAAAAUUAAACGUCAUUUUUAACGAAAUAUUACUAAGCCGAAGUGAUGAGCAUGUAAUUGAAAAUCACGAUAAUUUUUUUAUAGAUAAGCAACAAAACAUACUAUGUGCUGAAUGCAUUAAUAAACUAUUUUUUAGUAAAUCACCAUUAUAUAAAAAAUAUCUAUUAUUUAAUUGUAUUAAUGAAUUAUAUUCUUUAAAAAAUUGUUCAGAUUUUCGUUACAAUUUUUCUUUUUUUUUAUUAGACCAUACAUUAUUCUUAUCUAAUACAUUUAGUUAUUUAGAAGACAAGGUAAGUAGCAGUGAUAAAAACCAUGAGAUAGCUAGUGAUGAUGUGUAUAAUAAUGGAGAUGAUUAUAUUUAUUCUGUCAAGCAUGAAUUGAUUAUAUUAGCAACAAGUGCAUGUAAAGAGUUUUUAAAUAGCUGUACAAAGGAACUAUUUAACAUUUUUAAAGAUGCAAUAUAUACUUGUGUACUUGUUCGAUUAAAAAAUAUUUCUUCUAAUAAUAGAAAUUUAUUUUUUAUUUUAAAGAUUUUAAAAAGUUUAAUAGAUAACGUAAAAACAAUACAUACAUCAUUAAAAGAAGAACCAGCUUUAAUAGAAGAGAUUAUAAAAAUUUUUAUUAAAAAAUAUUCUAUUAAUACAAACAAAGGGGGAGAAAAAGAAAAAAAAUAUAUAACAACAUAUGUAGAAAACGUUUUCAAUACAAAAGAUGGAUAUUCUGUUAUUAAUGACCAAUAUAGUCAUAAUAACAAAGUUAUAGGAUAUAUCCCAAAUGAUAUUGAUUACAAAAACAGUAGUAGUAAUAAUAAUAAUAAUAAUAAUAAUAAUAAUAAUAAUAGUAGCAGUAAUACUAAUAAUAACAUCCACAGUAAUGAGAAUGACAGCAAUAAUAGACAUCAUUACAUGUAUGACAGUAAUAACAAUGGCGAUAGCAAUAAUAAAGAAAUGAUACUUAUUGUUCAAAUAAUUUUUAAUUUAUGGUGUGAAAAUUCUUUAUGGCAAAUUAAAAAAGAAUUAAUAAAAAGUUUUUUUGAUAAUAUUAUAAAAAAUUUUAAAUAUACUAGUAAAAAUAAUGAAAUAUGUAAUUAUUAUAUUCAGUUUUUAUAUUUGAUAUCACAAAACAAAAAUGACUUAAUUUAUUUUUUUAACACCAUAUUAUUUGAUAGUAGUGAUAGUUCAAAAAAUGUGUCAACUGACAAUGAUAAUGAUAAAAAGGGUACUUUUAAAAAUGAACUAAAUAGGACUAUCCAUAGUUGUGAUGAUAUAAAAAAAGGAGUACUGCAGCAACAACAACAGCAACAGCAGUUUAUUAACAGUGACCAUAUGAAUAGUCAUAGCUAUAAAAAUAUCGAUGACGAUAGUAGGCUGUCGACAAAUUUUAUUUUUGAAAACGAUAUGGCUAAUGACAACUUUGAUACAAUAGAUAAGUUUGAGCAGUAUGUACAGGAGCAAAAUAAGAUAUUAAAUGAUAACAGCAAAAACAACAGUAUCAACCACUACAGUUAUAACAAAAAUAGUAAGAACUAUCGAAAAGAUAAACUAAAAAUAGAUGAACAAGUAGUUGUGCCUAGUAAUUACAACCAUGAAUCUAACAAUAAUACUCUAGAAAAAGAAGAAGGUUUUAGCAUAUUAUUAAAAAGUAACGCUAUCGACAGUGAUAAUCUAAAAAAUGACACGCUACAAAGUGACACGAUACCAAAUGCGCAUGUAUUGCAAGAAUUAAAAAAAAAAAAAAAAAAAAAAAAAAGUAACGACGAAUAUAACGACCAGGUGAUGGAUAUGUACCAGUCUGCCGAGGUUUACAGCGAUUGCAAUAAAAGUAUUAUAUAUGAUUUAAAUUGUUCCAACAGCUUUAGAAAUUAUAAUACAGACGAAGACGAGAAUGACAUGUCAAGAGAAGGAUAUGUUUACGGAUGUGUAAGACAAAAACAAGAACGUAAACUCAAACAGUGUUACCCUAAUAAGUGUCAAAAAUUUAACUCCAACACUCCUGAUAGUAGCAUACUAAAAAGCUUCGAUAAUAAUUAUGAAAGUGGUAUAAUGGCUGCUCAAAAGAUUAAAAAAAAAACUUUUAAUAAAUUUUAUGAUAAUGGAAAAGCAUUAGUUACAAAUAAAAAUCAACAUAAUGGUAAAGAAGGACAAGAACUGAUAACAUCUGAACAUGUGAAUUGGGUAACAAUGGCAUCUCCAAAUGGAUAUGUAAGUGAUGGCCACUCCUACUGGAUUGAUGAGCAUUCUAAAGAAAUAGAAAACGAAAAGGAUGACCUUAGGUUAUUUUGCAACACACAAGAUGACGAAAACGGAGAAAGCGAUGGUAGCAACUGUAGUAACAGUAAUCACAGUAACCCUAACAAUACACUAUUUAGUAAUGAUUCGUAUAAUAACACGAACACAUUGAAAAAAAAAAAUAAUUUCGAGUUAAAAUUAUCAAGUAAAACAAAAGAUACACAUAUUUUUAUUUUUAUUACUUUAUGUGAUAAUUUACAAGAAACAUUACUAAAUAAUUUUAAUAAAGAUAUACAGAUAAAAUGCCUUGAUAUAUUUUACCAGUUUUGUAGUAUAAGUG
ensembl:lncRNA